UACAGAGGGUGCGAGCGUUAAUCGGAAUUACUGGGCGUAAAGAGUGCGUAGGUGGUAUGAUAAGUUAUGUGUGAAAGCUCAGGGCUCAACCUUGGGACUGCAGAUAAGACUGUUGAACUAGAGUAUAGGAGAGGGUAGCGGAAUUUCCGGUGUAGCGGUGAAAUGCGUAGAGAUCGGAAGGAACACCGGUGGCGAAGGCGGCUACCUGGCCUGAUACUGACACUGAGGUACGAAAGCAUGGGGAGCAAACAGG
rnacentral:rRNA from 1 species